rnacentral:rRNA from 1 species
AGUGAACGCUGGCGGUAGGCCUAACACAUGCAAGUCGAACGGCAGCACAGUAAGAGCUUGCUCUUACGGGUGGCGAGUGGCGGACGGGUGAGGAAUACAUCGGAAUCUACUUUUUCGCGGGGGAUAACGUAGGGAAACUUACGCUAAUACCGCAUACGACCUACGGGUGAAAGCAGGGGAUCUUCGGACCUUGCGGGAUUGAAUGAGCCGAUGUCGGAUUAGCUAGUUGGCGGGGUAAAGGCCCACCAAGGCGACGAUCCGUAGCUGGUCUGAGAGGAUGAUCAGCCACACUGGAACUGAGACACGGUCCAGACUCCUACGGGAGGCAGCAGUGGGGAAUAUUGGACAAUGGGCGCAAGCCUGAUCCAGCCAUACCGCGUGGGUGAAGAAGGCCUUCGGGUUGUAAAGCCCUUUUGUUGGGAAAGAAAAGCAGCAGGUUAAUACCCCGCUGUUCUGACGGUACCCAAAGAAUAAGCACCGGCUAACUUCGUG